UACAGAGGUCUCAACCGUUGUUCGGAUUCAUUGGGCGUAAAGGGUGCGUAGGCGGCGGGGUAAGUCAGGUGUGAAAUCUCGGGGCUCAACCCCGAAACUGCACUUGAUACUGCCGUGCUUGAGGACUGGAGAGGAGACUGGAAUUUACGGUGUAGCGGUGAAAUGCGUAGAUAUCGCAAGGAAGACCAGUGGCGAAGGCGGGUCUCUGGACAGUUCCUGACGCUGAGGCACGAAGGCCAGGGGAGCAAACGGG
rnacentral:rRNA from 1 species